rnacentral:rRNA from 1 species
UCAUCUCCGGGGGUAGAGCACUGUUUCGGCCAGGGGGCCAUCCCGGCUUACCAACCCGAUGCAAACUGCGAAUACCGGAGAAUGUUAUCACGGGAGACACACGGCGGGUGCUAACGUCCGUCGUGAAGAGGGAAACAACCCAGACCGCCAGCUAAGGUCCCAAAGUCAUGGUUAAGUGGGAAACGAUGUGGGAAGGCCCAGACAGCCAGGAUGUUGGCUUAGAAGCAGCCAUCAUUUAAAGAAAGCGUAAUAGCUCACUGGUCGAGUCGGCCUGCGCGGAAGAUGUAACGGGGCUAAACCAUGCACCGAAGCUGCGGCAGCGAUCGUUGGGUAGGGGAGCGUUCUGUAAGCCUGCGAAGGUGGCCUGUGAGGGUUGCUGGAGGUAUCAGAAGUGCGAAUGCUGACAUAAGUAACGAUAAUGCGGGUGAAAAACCCGCACGCCGGAAGACCAAGGGUUCCUGUCCAACGUUAAUCGGGGCAGGGUGAGUCGACCCCUAAGGCGAGGCCGAAAGGCGUAGUCGAUGGGAAACAGGUUAAUAUUCCUGUACCUGGUGUUACUGCGAAGGGGGGACGGAGAAGGCUAUGUUGGCCGGGCGACGGUUGUCCCGGUUUAAGCGUGCAGGUGUGUGUUCCAGGCAAAUCCGGGCAAGCUGACACGUAGGUGAAGCGGUUUACCCGUGAAGCUGAAGUCAGUCGAAGAUACCAGCUGGCUGCAACUGUUUAUUAAAAACACAGCACUGUGCAAACACGAAAGUGGACGUAUACGGUGUGACGCCUGCCCGGUGCCGGAAGGUUAAUUGAUGGGGUCAGCGCAAGCGAAGCUCCUGAUCGAAGCCCCGGUAAACGGCGGCCGUAACUAUAACGGUCCUAAGGUAGCGAAAUUCCUUGUCGGGUAAGUUCCGACCUGCACGAAUGGCGUAAUGAUGGCCAGGCUGUCUCCACCCGGGACUCAGUGAAAUUGAACUCGCUGUGAAGAUGCAGUGUACCCGCGGCAAGACGGAAAGACCCCGUGAACCUUUACUAUAGCUUGACACUGAACACUGGUCCUUGAUGUGCAGGAUAGGUGGGAGGCUUUGAAGUGUGGACGCCAGUCUGCAUGGAGCCGUCCUUGAAAUACCACCCUUUAAUGGCUGGUGUUCUAACGUAGACCCGUGAACCGGGUUGCGGACAGUGUCUGGUGGGUAGUUUGACUGGGGCGGUCUCCUCCUAAAGCGUAACGGAGGAGCACGAAGGUUGGCUAAUCCUGGUCGGACAUCAGGAGGUUAGUGCAAUGGCAUAAGCCAGCUUGACUGCGAGCGUGACGGCGCGAGCAGGUGCGAAAGCAGGUCAUAGUGAUCCGGUGGUUCUGAAUGGAAGGGCCAUCGCUCAACGGAUAAAAGGUACUCCGGGGAUAACAGGCUGAUACCGCCCAAGAGUUCAUAUCGACGGCGGUGUUUGGCACCUCGAUGUCGGCUCAUCACAUCCUGGGGCUGAAGUAGGUCCCAAGGGUAUGGCUGUUCGCCAUUUAAAGUGGUACGCGAGCUGGGUUUAGAACGUCGUGAGACAGUUCGGUCCCUAUCUGCCGUGGGCGCUGGAGAACUGAGGGGGGCUGCUCCUAGUACGAGAGGACCGGAGUGGACGCAUCACUGGUGUUCGGGUUGUCAUGCCAAUGGCACUGCCCGGUAGCUAAAUGCGGAAGAGAUAAGUGCUGAAAGCAUCUAAGCACGAAACUUGCCCCGAGAUGAGUUCUCCCUGAGACUACAAGUCUCCUGAAGGAACGUUGAAGACGACGACGUUGAUAGGCCGGGUGUGUAAGCGCAGCGAUGCGUUGAGCUAACCGGUACUAAUGAACCGUGAGGCUUAACCUUACAACGCCGAAG